CAGUAGCCGCGGUAAUACGAAGGGGGCUAGCGUUGUUCGGAUUAACUGGGCGUAAAGGGCGCGUAGGCGGGUUUUUAAGUCAGAGGUGAGAUCCCAAGGCUCAACCUUGGAACUGCCUUUGAUACUGGAAGUCUUGAGUCCGGGAGAGGUGAGUGGAACUGCGAGUGUAGAGGUGAAAUUCGUAGAUAUUCGCAAGAACACCAGUGGCGAAGGCGGCUCACUGGCCCGGUACUGACGCUGAGGCGCGAAAGCGUGGGGAGCAAACAGGAUUAGAUACCCGCGUAGUCCCUGUCUCUUAUAC
rnacentral:rRNA from 1 species